rnacentral:rRNA from 1 species
CCCUGGCUCAGGUUGAACGCUGGCGGCAGGCCUAACACAUGCAAGUCGAGCGGGCCCUUCGGGGUCAGCGGCAGACGGGUGAGUAACGCGUGGGAACGUGCCCUUUGGUUCGGAAUAACUCAGGGAAACUUGAGCUAAUACCGGAUACGCCCUUUUGGGGAAAGGCUUGCUGCCGAAGGUUCGGCCCGCGUCUGAUUAGCUGGUUGGUGAGGUUAUGGCUCACCAAGGCGACGAUCAGUAGCUGGUCUGAGAGGAUGAUCAGCCACACUGGGACUGAGACACGGCCCAGACUCCUACGGGAGGCAGCAGUGGGGAAUAUUGGACAAUGGGGGCAACCCUGAUCCAGCCAUGCCGCGUGAGUGAUGACGGCCUUAGGGUUGUAAAGCUCUUUUCUCCGGGACGAUAAUGACGGUACCGGAGGAAUAAGCCCCGGCUAACUUCGUGCCAGCAGCCGCGGUAAU